rnacentral:rRNA from 1 species
AUUGAACGCUGGCGGCAUGCCUUACACAUGCAAGUCGAACGGCAGCACGGGGCAACCUGGUGGCGAGUGGCGAACGGGUGAGUAAUGCAUCGGAACGUACCUUUCAGUGGGGGAUAACGUAGCGAAAGUUACGCUAACACCGCAUAUUCUGUGAGCAGGAAAGCAGGGGAUCGCAAGACCUUGCGCUGAUUGAGCGGCCGAUGUCAGAUUAGCUAGUUGGUGAGGUAAAGGCUCACCAAGGCGACGAUCUGUAGCGGGUCUGAGAGGAUGAUCCGCCACACUGGAGCUGAUACACGGUCCAGACUUCUACGGGAGGCAGCAGUGGGGAAUUUUGGACAAUGGGGGCAACCCUGAUCCAGCCAUGCCGCGUGAGUGAAGAAGGCCUUCGGGUUGUAAAGCUCUUUCGGCCGGGAAGAAAUCGCACGGGCUAAUACCCUGUGUGGAUGACGGUACCGGAAUAAGAAGCACCGGCUAACUACGUGCCAGCCGCCGCGGUAACAC